rnacentral:misc_RNA from 1 species
UUGGCGGCGUCGAACUGGCUCUCAAAUGAUGGGUUGGAUACUCAUAAAGGACAAGCUCAACUGCCCACUACGAACGAGUGAAUGCUUUUUUAAUCCCUGAUCGCCUCGGUCUGUUAAGGAGUAGCAGCCAUCGGCUAACAGAAACCACGAAACUAGACUCAACAUUCCACCGAAUACCCCAUUACAUUUUUAUAUCCAUACCGCUGUAGUUGCUUGUAACGAAGCCAUCCCGAUGGCCACGAUCCCGUCCAUCGUUGACCGUAAGGUUGCAAUUGCGCGGGCGGCGAAGAAUCGUAGGACGAAGGCUUGAAUCUGAUACGUGAGAUGGAAAUGCAUCGACCGUGAACAUCCCUUGGACAGUUGGUACUCAGUUCGUAGACGUUGCCGGGAUCGGGAACCUGGACCGUCACAGGGCGAAAGGGCUUUUUGUUGAACCGAUUGUAGAAUUCACUGCUCCUGGCUACUCCGCUGACGCAUGAUGAAAGCACCGCCACGAUAAAGAGGCACAGGAACACGGAGCUGCAGCUUCUCAUCGUUACGAAGUCUCUCCA